rnacentral:lncRNA from 1 species
AUCCUGCAGAUACCCCACCAUUAAAUUUCUUGUAUCAUCAACUAUAUUUCAGUAGUUUCCUAUCUAGAAUUCCUAUCUCCAAUUUUGUCCUUCCAAUGCCAUAUUAUCCCUUCUAAAUUAGAUUGUUUUUAUUCCAUCAGUCCCAGCUACUCAGGAGGCUGAGGUGCAAGGAUCCCUUGAGCCCAAGAGGUCAAGGCUAUAGUGAGCAACUAUUGUGCCGCUGCACUCCAGCCUGUGUGACACAGUGAGACCCCAUAUCUUUAAAAAUAUAAUCCAAAUCCUAGAAUAUAAAAUCCAACUCCUGAGAAAAUCCAAGACCUCACAUGUCUCUCCAGUCCCUCUCUCCCUACAAUCCUCUAAUUCUCCAU